GACGAACGCUGGCGGCGUGCUUAACACAUGCAAGUCGAACGGAAAGGCCCUGCUUUUGUGGGGUGCCCGAGUGGCGAACGGGUGAGUAACACGUGAGUAACCUGCCCUUGACUUUGGGAUAACUUCAGGAAACUGGGGCUAAUAUCGGAUAGGAGCUCCUGCUGCAUGGUGGGGGUUGGAAAGUCUCGGCGGUUGGGGAUGGACUGGCGGCUUAUCAGCUUGUUGGUGGGGUAGUGGCUUACCAAGGCUUGGACGGGUAGCCGGCCUGAGAGGGUGAACGGCCACAUUGGGACUGAGAUACGGCGCAGACUCCUACGGGAGGCAGCAGUGGGGAAUAUUGCACAAUGGGCGGAAGCCUGAUGCAGCAACGCCGCGUGCGGGAUGACGGCCUUCGGGUUGUGAACCGCUUUCGCCUGUGACGAAGCGUGAGUGACGGUAAUGGGUAAAGAAGCACCGGCUAACUACGUG
rnacentral:rRNA from 1 species